rnacentral:rRNA from 1 species
GACGAACGCUGGCGGCGCGCCUAACACAUGCAAGUCGAACGGGAUCUAUUGGAGCUUGCUCUGGCAGAUCUAGUGGCGGACGGGUGAGUAACACGUGAGCAACCUGCCCUUAAGAGGGGGAUAACGUCUGGAAACGGACGCUAAUACCGCAUAACAUACCGAAGUGGCAUCGUUUUGGUAUCAAAGGAGAAAUCCGCUUAAGGAUGGGCUCGCGCCCGAUUAGAUAGUUGGCGGGGUAACGGCCCACCAAGUCGACGAUCGGUAGCCGGGCUGAGAGGAUGACCAGCCACACUGGGACUGAGACACGGCCCAGACUCCUACGGGAGGCAGCAGUGGGGAAUAUUGCACAAUGGGCGCAAGCCUGAUGCAGCCAUGCCGCGUGUGUGAAGAAGGCCUUAGGGUUGUAAAGCACUUUCAGCGGGGAGGAAGGGUAUAGGCUUAAUACGUUUAUACAUUGACGUUACCCGCAGAAGAAGCACCGGCUAACUCCGUGCCAGCAG